GAUGAAGAACGCAGCGAAAUGCGAUAAGUAAUGUGAAUUGCAGAAUUCAGUGAAUCAUCGAAUCUUUGAACGCACAUUGCGCCCACUAGUAUUCUGGUGGGCAUGCCUGUUCGAGCGUCAUUUCAACCCUCAAGCCUUAGUUGCUUGGUGUUGGGAGCUUAUCUUGCCGAAAGGCGGACAACUCCUUAAAACUAUUGGCGGAGUCGCGGUGACCCCAAGCGUAGUAAAUCUUUUUUUUCUCGCUUUAGGUGUUAACGCUGGCUUUCUAGCCGUUAAACCCUCUAAAUUUUUAGUGGUUGACCUCGGAUCAGGUAGGACUACUCGCUGAACUUAAGCAUAUCAAUAAGCGGAGGA
rnacentral:misc_RNA from 1 species